GCUACUGAGAUUCAAAAUAUUCAGAUUGCUGAUGGGGAUGUAUGCAGGGGAAUGACUAUUCCUAUAUUUAUGAUAUUUCCAAGGUUGUUCACAUGUCCUACCUUAGCCACCAGUAACUUUAAAGUUGAGUUUGAAGUAAAUAUUGUGAUUGUUCUCCAAGAUGAUCAUCUCAUCACAGAAAAUUUUCCUAUCAAGUUAUUUAGAACAUAGUGGUCCAGCAGAUGACUAUAUUACUUAUUGUUUCUAUGGCAACUGUAUGUGUGACUUACCAUCAAUUUAAACAGGACAGAUUAAUAACACUUACUGCCAGACUGCCAAAAAUGUUGUCACACAUCAUUCUCGUCGUUUUUCACACUUUAAAGACAUGUAUUUUCCUUCUUCAUAACCCCAAGAUAUUCUCAUUUUAAGUGAUAAUAAAGAUGAACAUUGUAGUCAUUCCACUAUGCACAAUAAA